UUUGACUUUUAUUAUGUACCACUUUAUAGGAUAGGGUCAGGUUAGGUCUGGAGAGGGAAAACUUUUCGAAGGGCAGUUAACCAAGUGUAUUACCAGAUAUCUAUGUGAAACAGACAUCUAGUAAACAAAAUAUUAACAUGUUAUUGAUCAGGAAAAUAUCUGCAUUAUUGACUGAAGAUAUUCAAUGCUUUACAUGGUAUUAUUUCUAUAAAACAGAUUUUUUCCUUUCCUUUUUCUGUUUGCUUGUCCAACAAGGAUGGUUAAGGAAGUGUACCUGUUAUGAAAGUCGGUAUUUUUGGUUUGACUACGUAUUCUCUGCAUUCUUGGGUUGAAAAGAAAACAGGUUUUGUUUAUGUCUACUACCUUAAGUUCAAGCCAAGUUACUGUUAAAAGAUAAAAUUCUAGAAAUUGAUGUCUUGAAUGCCUUUUGCCUGUGUUGCAGUUAAUAAAAACAAUUCGUUUUGAACACAGAAUGUGGUCAGUGCAUUCAUUAAAAAAAAAUGCAGAUACCUUGCUGUUCACAAUUAGCUGUGGUGUUAGAGAAACAGUGAAUUUGUAGUUGUGAAGCAGAUGAAGGUUGCACAGAAUGUAUGGUAUACAACAUCAAGAUCCAUAAGAAAUUAGGUACAUGAAGAACACGGCUCUUAAAGAGGUUUGGUGACAGCCCAGAUGAAAGUUACAAGCAAGUGAAUUUUAUACUUUGUCAUGCUUUAUUUAAGAUGAUCACCAUCCUAUGGAUAGUUUUCAAACACAUAAUAUAAAAGGCAACUUUUAUGUUUGAUUUAUAAAUAAAAUGACAGAAAAAAUGUAGAGAAAUUUAUGAGAUGACUUGCAAGUUCCAAGAUUCUCUGAGAAAAUCAACAGUUUAAAUACUAUAAAGUUUUGACUUGCAGCUUGUUGAUUUGGUCACAAUAUUGAAGAAAUUUUGCAAUGUCUGCAUGACUUGCAUAAUUCUACCAGAGCCAAUGUUCUUGAUAAUUUGUCUUCUUAAAUGAAUGUCUGUGACUGCCAGUAACAUUAUAAUAUAAAUGAAUAUUCGCUCACUUUCACGAAUAAUGGUCUGUGGUUGAACGUCUCUUCUGGAAUUGAUCAGUGUUACAAUGCAGCAUUUUGUUGCUCUUACAAAAUAGUGAAAUAGCAUGAAAAGUAAAGUAGUGAAAAAAAUUAAAUUCUUUUUGUACUCCCAUGUUUUAAAGACCAUAUAAUGGGCAGUCAAAGAUACUUUGCAUUGUAAAACGUCUCCAACUCUUGUAUUAAAUUUUGUUACCUAAAUAAAGCAAGAGGACUGGAGACUUGCUGCGGUACCAUCUGCCAUUAAAAGGCCGCAAGUUCAAUUCUCAGUGAUGUGAAUACUUUUUGUGGUAGUCUGAACACUUGAAGAUAUUACUGAAGUCACUUAUCCUAAGUAUGGGAAAGUUUUAAGUUUUACUGGGGUAGGAUAGGCUUGUAUGACAUACAGAUGGUUGUCUGUAUACAUAAUUUUGUUGAACACUGAAACAUCUAGAUUUAGAUAUAUAUUUUUUGUAAGUAAAUUGUUUACUUUUCCCUGUCACAUAAUUAUGACGCAUUAUGUUGUAUCAUGGUCAUAUGAUAUGCCUACUGGCUGUCUAGUAACUUUGCUUUGACAUUCAGAAGUCGCCACCCUACUGUUUACUCUAAUUGAAGAUGCAGUUACUAAUUAAUUACUCUUCAUAGCCAUAUGACUGGAGAUAACACCAUAGGAUUGUUGGUAAGAAUGACAGAUUGCAUCCAAUUUCAUAUCUGCAUUUUGAUAACAUGUAUAUGAUAAAGGGAUAAACCUCAAUAAGUAUUACUCCCUUGAUCUUCCUUGAAAGUAUUGAUUAGAAAGAUACGCAGAACUCAAUAUUGUAUAUUCUUUAUAAUACUGCAUAAUGAUUUCAUUAAUGCUGUAAAGGUGGUGAAUGUACUGUCUCAUGAUAUAAUAGUCAGAUGAUCCGAUGACGUGCAUGUGAUUUUCGAAAUAAGAAUAAUACCACUCACGUGUCCCCUGUAUAUGUUACGUAUUUUUAUGAAUUUAGUACGUAUAAUUAUUUUUUCUGUCUGCGCUUGCAAAGUUUGUUGGUUCAAUAGUAAAAUUGUAGAGGUAAAAAUGUCGAGGUUAUAUUUCAGGACACAGACUGUUGAAAUCCACAUGUAGUUUUGCCAAGUCAGCAAUUUCCACACAGUAAGAGAGAGGUGGACAUUGGGAAAAAUUUCUUGACAGAUAAAAAGUGUUAUUCUGACAGAAUCUUGUAAAUGAAGGUUGUGACAUUCAUUGUGUAGGAACUAAAUAAGGAAAUUAAGGCAUUGCUGUUUAGUGAUAACAAGCCGCUGUUUUGGAGAUGUCCAGUCAUCAUGUAGUCAGGGAGAACAUUCCUUAGAUUACGUCACAGUUGACAGAAUGACUAGAAAGCAGAUUCUGUAAAUUAUGUGCAGUUAGUAAAACAGCUUUGUUUACAAAUGGAAAGGAAAUAUAAUGUUAUUAUAAGAAAGGAAUUCAUUUUUUCGGAGUUCAUGGGAAAUGAACAACAGAAAAUUUUCCAUGAAUCGCUGGUUCAACUCAGCGGUAAGGAAGAUGUUUGCAUAAUUUUCAUGAAGUGAUUGUUUCUUCUAUAAAACAUCUUGUUUUUGCAAACAACUGCUUCCUUGCAUCAAUAAUUCUCAGUCUUGCACUACUUUAUAACUGCCAGAGCAAACACUUCAGUAGUGAGACCUUGUGUAGGGUUUCCAGCAAGCCAUGUUGAAUUGAGCAGACUUCAAGGACAGGAAGAGGGAUGGUAUCUGAUCAUACUGUAGACUAUCUGGCUUCUUCCUUGUCAAACAGUUGAUUUAGCUUUGUGUCAAGUUGUUUCCUGCAUGUGUUACUAUUUGUAUGUACACCAAAUUGUGAAAACUUGACUCAUUGUAGGAUGUAUUUUAACCCUUCCCCUGCUAAUUUUCUAAAAUGGACUGGUCCAUCAUUCAAUUUUGGCAGUACCAUUUAAUAUUCAAAGGGGUGUUCACUGAAAAUUUACUGUCUGAAUAGCGAACAGUGCAGACCAUGAUUGGUCUUGGUCUGCAGUGGUCACAAAGGCAGAAUCACUUGCCACCAGCAUGCUAAAGGUUAAAGUUUCCUGUUGAUAAGGUUCGGUUUUGACUGAACUUUUCCAUGUACACUGACUGUAUUCCAUUUGUACAGUCAGUGUUUCAUCAUACUUCUUAUGCUGUACUGUGAUUUCCUUGAAAUCCGUGAGUCUGAACAGGGCUUGUCACGGAGAUCGUAUAACAAUUAUUUCCGCUAAACCAAGGUCAAUUUUCUGUAUGAUAUUCAUUGACUGUCCACAGUCUGUCACAUUGAUUGUUAUACAAUCGAUCUAUAUUCACAAUGCAUUCUAGCUAAUAUCAUAUUUCUCCAUCUCUUAUUGUUGUGCAAGUUGAAUAAUUACUCCCACUUGUCAUUAGGUUUUGACAGUUACAAAUCGCAAUGUUUGUAUUGGUCAGUAAGGAUCUUAUCCCGGUAGAAUACUGUACUAACAAGUAUGCAGUCAGUAGUUGCUUCACAUAUUCUGUCAAAUUUUAUAAUUUCAAAUGAGUUGCCGAACUUUCUUACAUAGUUAACCAUAGACUCCAGUACAAUUUGACAAUAAAUUCUUAUGUUGAACUGAAACUAAUUUUUUUUUAAAAGCGUAAGCAGUUCAAGACGAGAAGCCCAACUUUUUCAUAUUUUUCAAGCUUCUGUUCCAGGAAGAAGUUUUUGUACAUGUAUGUUAGUAUUCUCCAUUUUAUUUUCUGCAAAAAUAUUAAGAAAGCUGUCUGUGAAGUAAUUUCAAGGAAAUUGAACAAAGUAAAAAAUGUGAAAUGAAUAUUUUCAGCAUCUUUUGUAUCUUUUCGAAAAAUGAAUACUGAGUCCUUCAGUUUCAUUUACACAAUGAUGGUUGUGAAGGGGAACUUACCUUGAGCAAGAAUGU
rnacentral:lncRNA from 1 species